rnacentral:rRNA from 1 species
UACGGAGGGUGCGAGCGUUGUCCGGAAUCAUUGGGCGUAAAGGGCGCGUAGGUGGCCCGGUCAGUUCGUGGUGAAAGCGCGGGGCUCAACCCUGCGUCGGCCAUGAAUACUGCCGCGGCUGGAGCACUGUAGAGGCAGGCGGAAUUCCGGGUGUAGCGGUGGAAUGCGUAGAGAUCCACAGGAACUCCGGUGGCGAAGGCGGCCUGCUGGACCCGAUCUGACGCUGAGGCGCGAAAGCCAGGGGAGCGAACGGG